rnacentral:tRNA from 1 species
UGAUUUAUAUAUUAAAAAUAGUGGAUUGCAAAUCCGCCCACGCCGGUUCGAUUCCGGC